rnacentral:lncRNA from 1 species
CAAAAUUGAUAUCAAAACAUCACAAGCAUAUUUACAAGGUGCUAUAAGCAUAAGCAUUUAAUAAAAAUCAAGUAACAUGACAUCAUUGAAACUAUGCUACUACAUGAUUUUAAUCUCCAACACUACACCACCAGUUCCAGGAAGCUUUUGAGAUCGAAGUAAUUCUUGUUAAAAAGCCUCGGUCGAUAGUAACACGAACUAACUACCAAACCUGCAAAGAAUCCAAAACACAAAGAAUUACACUACAUAACAUACAGCUCCCAAAUGAAUAUGUAGAGUAAUAAUAUUAAUUGUACAAAUGUGACAAUAAUAAUACCAAAAAGUAGAGAAUAUGCUAGUAAUAACACUCAAAUUUUGAGACUGCACAAAUGCACUAUGAAGCAAAGAUAAUAUAACAGCUAUUAGUAAUCUUAAAGAAACACACAGAACCUUCACUCCGUCGCUCCUUGGGAUUACAUUUCUGUGUACACAUCAGGUAAUAUUUAAAUUGAAUAAGACAUCAAGGCAGUAAGGAAGUUUGUUUCAAGGGUUUCACAUAAUCUAGCUUCUUGGCUUCUACCAUCGCCAUUGUUUGCUACCAUAUGAAUACAAAAACUUAUGGAUUCAAUCAAAAACAGAGAAGAGUAAGGGAGGAUUAACCCACUAUCCCAAUGACAGCAAACGGCAAAGAGUACCAAACAGAGGAAAAAUCAAUCUAAUUUGUUUUUCAUCGGUCCUUAUUGUUAUUAUGAUCUGUUUGUAGCUUCCUAAAAAUUAGUGUAAUUCAUAGUCAUCUCACAAAAUGAGAAAAAAGAGAGCAUGAAACUUUUUAAAAAGGGUACAUCACAAUGAACCGGCUAAACUAAUAUAAAGGGAAGUAUUCUAAAAAUGAAUAUAAAGGGAAGUAUUCUAGAAAGGGUACAUCACAAUGAACCAACUAAACUAAUACCAAGUUAACAAUGUAAACGUUAGUUAAUGAUAUGCAAAAAAUAUAUUAACAUGAUUUUUCUAAAUGAGUCGCAUUUGCUUUCUGUAAAGAGCACUCACAUGAAAAUGUAUGACGUAAAUAAUUCAAGGGAAUAUACCUAGAUCUCUUUUUUUAGUUCUGGUUGUAUACAUAAUAUUUUAGUUUAACUUAGCACACCAUUGAUUAAUUAUUCUUUCUAGUAGGCUUUCAUGAAUGAAAUGAUGUGAAUAAUACCAAGAAUUAGAGAAUAUGCCAAUAAUAACACUAAAAAUUUGAGACUGAAAGAAAUGCACUAUGUAGCAGAUCGAACACUUAUAAAUUUGAAGCAAAAACAAUAUACCAUAUAAUAUUAGUAAUCUUAAAUGAAGACACGCAAUCUUCACUUCCAUCGCUCCUUCAGAUUGAAAUUCUGUGUGAAUUCAUUUCCGGAAAUAUAGUAGUACUAAAUCCAUCACCUCUGUUGUAAUAAGCAAAAAAAACUCAUCACCAAUUAAAUUGUUAGCUUGCAGGCCCAAAGAAGAAGGGAAAUAGAAGACAGUAACGAAGUUCAUUUCAAGGGUUUCACUUUGUGUCACCUAUUUGAACAAAGCAGAAGCAAUCAUAUUUUAUACACGCCAUCUCCUGAUUAUUGUCUAUACAAUAAAAUAAAUCUAAGGAAAAGUACUAUAAUAA